CACCGCGAUGGUGGCUGGUUGAUCUCCGUGAGUUUCAGGCAUUUGCUCAGGUGUUUUCAUUUCAUAAUAUAACUACUACUACUUUAAUGAUGGGUAAGAGAUUAGGUGGUUGUACUGUACAAAAUAUUCAUGUGUUUUACUUGCCGUCAAGUUUCCCUUAAAUUAAUGCCUAAUUGCAUUUGUUGGGGUUAUGUACUAAUGCCUUGAAAGGACUGUGUAAUAUUCCGGAAUAUUGUGUUCAUUUUCAUAAGUAAAAUUUGUUUGGGUGAAGUUGAUUUUCACAUAUAUUUGAGAUUUGUUUAGACAAUCCUUGAUGAACUUGGUUGUUUAGCAUAGUUCGGCUUUCACAAAUCACAAUGUUUAGAAUCUUUUUAUACGCAUGGGGCUUAUAUGAUGAAGCUUCACUGCUCCACUACUAUUUGACAUACAAUAUGUUUAGAAUGUUUUUUAUAAUUGAGCUUUCACAAUGUUUAGAAUCUUUUAUUCUUAUAAUGUAUGUUUUAUGCCACGUACUCAUAGUUUUUACCAUCAGUUGCUUAUGAUCAUUCAGUUCAUUAACGAACUUUUAGGUGGUUGUGCUUGAUCGGUGGUGUUCUCAUGCCUUCUGUUUUGUGGCUGUAGGAUAUCAAGAGGAGGGAAGAGGCGCUGAAGAAUGGUGCAGAUCCACAUUUGUUUUUGCAUAAUUGCUGCCAUAGCUCCACCAAUUGUAUUUCAUGGGAAAUCAUUAACAUAGCCAGUGAUGUUGUCUGCUGGAAAAGGAGAAAUCAAUGAAUUAUAGAUUGGGAUCACAGAACUUCAGAGAGGAAACUAGGUUGAUUGUUCAAUAUUUUUUAAGAAUACUUAGUAUCCUGGAUAAUAUGUGAAACAAACAAUAUG